CAGCCAGACUCCUACGGGAGGCAGCAGUGGGGAAUCUUCCGCAAUGGGCGAAAGCCUGACGGAGCAACGCCGCGUGAUCGAAUGAAGGCCUUCGGGUUGUAAAGAUCUGUUGACAGGGACGAAUAAGCAAUGCGAAUAGUUUUGUGUAUGACGGUACCUGUUUAGAAAGCUCCGGCUAACUACGUGCCAGCAGCCGCGGUAAUACGUAGGGAGCAAGCGUUGUCCGGAAUUACUGGGCGUAAAGGGCGCGUAGGUGGGCGCUUAAGUCAGGUGUGAAAACUCCGGGCUCAACCUGGAGACUGCACUUGAAACUGCGUGGCUGGAGUGCAGGAGGGGCAGGCGGAAUUCCUGGUGUAGCGGUGAAAUGCGUAGAUAUCAGGAGGAACACCGGUGGCGAAGGCGGCCUGCUGGGCUUUUACUGACGCUGAGGCUCGAAAGUGUGGGGAGCAAACAGGAUUAGAUUCCCUUGUA
rnacentral:rRNA from 1 species